GGGGUCAGGAGGUCAGGAGGUGGGGGGGUGGAAGGGGGGGCUCAUAUGGGACCAAAUGGAGCAGGAGGUGGUGGUGGGUUCUCAUAUGGGAUGAUACGGACCAGAAAAUGGUGGUGGGGGCUUCUAUGGAACCAUACGGACCAGAAGGUGGCGGUGGGUUCCCAUAUGGGACCAGCAGGUGGCGGUGGUGGCAUAUAUGGGACCAUCAGAUGGUGGUGGGGGCUCAUAUGGGACCAGGAGAUCGUGGUGGGUUCUCAUAUGGGACCAUCAGAUGGUGGUGGGUUCUCAUAUGGGACCAGAAAAUUGUGCUGAGGGCUCAUAUGGGACCAUAUGGACCUGGAGAUCGUGGUAGGUUCUCAUAUGGGACCAUCAGAUGGCGGUGGGGGCUCAUGUGGGACCAUAUGGACCAGGAGAUCGUGGUGGGUUCUCAUAUGGGACCAUAUGGGGGCUCACAUAGAACCAUAUGGACCAGAGAUGGUGGUGGGCUCUCAUAUGGGACCAGCAGAUUGCGCUGA
rnacentral:lncRNA from 1 species